rnacentral:lncRNA from 1 species
GGACGGACAGACCGACCGACGCGGGCCACCGGGCUCUCCUCGCCGCCGGUGCGGCGGGCGCGGGGCCGCGCGGGGACGCCUGAUAUCUGCAGCGCGGGCGGGCCGCCGCGGAGCGGAACCAGACAAAGGCGCCGGGACGCCUGCAGGACAGGCCUGCCUUAAAGCAGACGGAAUGAAAGGCAGAAGCUUGUAAGCCUACGCAUGACGCCAGAGCACGUCGGCAGAGGGCUCUGUCUCACCCGGACCAGUGAGAGUGAUUUCCCAGCGAUUGCUUCGGCCGGUACAACCAGAGAACAGGAUUCUUUUCUUUUUGGCCGCUAAAUGCCUCUGUACCCCACACUUUCCAGUGAGUGGAGAAGGCUGGAGCUUCUUGGAUGAUGAUGGAUGUUCCGCUGGGCAGGAUGAGGGCAGAGUGUGUGACAUCAACACCACAAGGGUAAGAGCUGCCUGUCUGGUGUUUUCUCUGAUGCCAGCAUUUACCAAAGGAAGGGGAGAAAAACCUAG